GCCUGGGGAGGCCCUCAGGCCCCGCAGCACCCUGGUGGGUGGGCGGGGGCGCUUCUAGCGGCAGCGCUGCCGACACCGGAGUGAGGAACAGAUACGCAGUUUAGUGGACAAGCAUGUGGAAUUCACUGCAACUCUUUUCAAGAUGGUUCUUUGGAGGAUACGAUGGCUGCUUUGAAAUUUCUAUACUGUCUUUUUAUUAAAGGAGAAUUCCUAGUAAGAGAUACUACUCUGUCUGCAAUAAAAAUCCUUCUUACUAGACACAGAUAAUAAAAUCUCUGCAUAUAGUCUGUAAGGAUCAUUUAUUGUAAAACACUGGCCUCUGAAAAAAAUAACCAGUCUUUGUAUCUGCAUCAGUGAAAAUAAAUAAGAGGCAGCAGGACUGUGACUUGCACUUACACAGUCAGCAAAGGGAAGAAUGCCAGGUUCUAAAAGUAACUUGGUGUCUUUACAUGAGGAUGGUAUAAAUGAUACUUCAGACUUGAGCGAAAUGAAAAUGUCAGAUGAAAAAGGAUCUGUUGAAAAAAGAACAAUGACUCUGAUUGAGAAGAAUGGCUAUCACGACUCUGUGUACAUGAAAGCAGCUAAGAUUUUUCAAGGCAUUCAUACUGAAAAGCGUAAGGAUAGAAUAUUGGUGCGGUAUGGUGAUGACUCAGUAUCUCCCACACUGACUUUUAAAGAUGAGUAUUCCCAGCGGGUAUCUUAUGAACUGGCUUUCAGUGCUCUAAAAUAUCAAGAUCUUCUUGAAGAAAUACUGUUAGAUAGUUGUGUUUACCCAUGCCAGUCAAUACCGGAUGAAUUAACCAGCUUGCUUGUUGUGAUGCUUUAUGACCUACAAGACCGAAAGUUUCAAGCACGAGAGAUUUUUGAUGAAGAGGAGCCUGUAGCAGAAGUUCAGAAAAUAGAGCGUUAUCUAUACAGUUUCAGGACAAAAUUGGCAGCUGCACUAGCAAGAUGCCGCAUAAAACAUGAUGCUCUUUCAAUUGAAUGUAUUCUACCAGAAACCAUACGGAAGCAGGAACAAAGGGCUUCUGCUUUACCUUUAUGUGUUUGGAUAAACACACUUAAAAUCAGCCUUCAAGACAUUUUCAAAGAUUUGAAGAAGAAGGGAUUCACAAGAGUUGAAACUGUGUCAGACUUUGACCAUUAUACGUACUGUAUGGACCAACAUUGCCAUGAUGUACUGUUUUUUCCUUCCUCUCUUAAAGAAGAACUGCUUAAUUUAGAUCUUUUUGCAGAUUGCAAACUCUUACUGCAGGAUAAGUCUCGCAGCCUUGCUGUACACUCUGCACAGGCGCUGCUGAAUAUAGGUGAUGACAUUAUAGUGGCUCAUGUAGGUUCCCAUCUGACCGUUGCCCAUAUGUCAGUGCUGACAAAUCACACCAUGUCCAAAAUUUUUGUUUGCGGCGUGAAAUCUUCAGUGAAAGCAGCAGAACUGAGGAACUUGUUCAGUCACAUGGGAUGUAAAAAUAUUCAGUUGCUACAUGAAGACUUUACUGAGGUUGGACCAACAGACCCAAGACUUCAAAAGGCAAAAGUUAUUUUGCUGCUACCACAAUGCUCUGGGCUGGGUGUUGGCAACCCAAUAGACUUUAUUUUGAAUGAACAUGGAGAUGCAGGAUUGCUGAGAGACCUUUUCCAAGGAUCUGUAUCUAAGGAGAAACUCAGUAUUCUUGCUGAGAGGCAGCUUAAUGAGUUGAUGCAUGCAAUGAAAUUUAACGAAGUACAAGCUAUUGUUUACGGCACUUGUUCAGUUUACCCAGAAGAAAAUGAACUAGUAGUGAAAAAAGCACUGGACUCUGGAGUGGAAGGAAAUAAAGUACAACCAUAUAGGCUUAUUCCUUCUGUGUUUACUCCUUGCUCCAAUUCAGAGGCUUCCACUGAAAUUUUUUUCAAAAUGGAGCCAUCAGAUAUUUCCAGUGGCUGUUUUCUAGCUAUUCUAGCAAGAGAGAAAGAUUCUUCUGAAAACGUGUCUGUUAAAGACAUUCUGGCUCGUGCUGCAGCAAAAGGACUCCUAGAUGGUGUUGCUGUAGAAAGAUCAAAGGAAGAGGAGAAAAAGCGACCAAAAGUAACACAGCGCAGAAGUAAUAUUACUGGUAGUGGUACAGAGCCAAAAAUGGAAGAGUUCCUUCACCGUCAAACUGUAUCCAAUGUUAAGGCUGAAGUUGCCGUGCCUAAAGCAGUCGGUAACAUACUACAAAAGAAUGUGAGCCGAACAAAGAGCCACAUUCAGCCGAAGAAACCCCUCAACCCGGUUUCAGCCCCAGCUCUGCCUAGAGUGCUGAAGCACACAUCUCAUUCAUCACCUAUGGGCAGGGCACAUGACGGACAGGCACUUGCUAGAAGGCCACGUGCAGAACAUCGCAGGGUUGUACUGAAGCCUGUGGAGAUCAUUUUGCCCCCAGUGAUAAUGCCAUACAUAUGCCUGCAAGGAAACAAACCCAGGACAUCAACUCAUCCCUGCUUUCAUGGCUGGACUGGAGCAAAAGGUCCGAGUGGGAGGAAACUUCCACCACCUCUGCCUAAAGCUGUCAAGCCAGCUGUGCUGAGCCAUCCUCGGCCAUGGCUGUAAAAAUCUGCAAAGUUUGCCCAGCCUUUAUAACAAAGUCAGCGCUACCUUUAGAAGGAAGGAUGUGAAUGAUACUACGCCAGCAGCAUAGGCAGCAGGCUCUGGUUCGUCAGAUGAAUAUCCUUGCUUCAGUGAAUCAGGGAAAAUGUCUUUUAGCAUUUCAGUCCGAGCCAGCUGUCCUGUUCAAAGGCAUCGCCCACCUGCUGUACAUCCCUGAGUUUGAGUCUUCGAAAUGUUAUGGAGGCUGAACCAGUUAGAAUCUUGAUGCCUUACCAAGAAUACUGAAGAGCUGGUAGCGAAGAUUUUGAUUCUGCAGGUCGCCAGCUUAUCUGGGGCUGGCUUCAGAUGGCUUCAGUAGGUAGGAGCCUGUAUGCUCAUUAAACGCUCUGUGACUUUUUACAGUAAAGCUGUUUAUGUGACUAAUUUUCUUUAAUCCAGUUACUUAUUUGUAAUAAUCAGCUAGAAGCUGUUGCUUCGGCUUUCCAGAUGCAAAAGCAUCCAUUGCACUGCUACUGCCUCUAAGCCACCAGCAUGUUUUUCCCUCCCCUCAACCACAGUUUGGCACAAAAGAAAUAAUUUCCCAGUUUCAUGGACCAGUAACAGCUGAGACAAUCAUUUUAUGCAGCUAAAUUUAUUCUCAGAACAGAUUACAUUUAAAUGUGGAGAAGUGGUCAACAGCAGGGAAAAUAGUCCUUUUUGGUGUCAGAUACUUUAUGUACUGCUAAUAGACAGUGGGGGUGUUUCCUUCUUUCUUACUGCUGUUAAAAUAAAACAAACCUGCUUUUGCUGACUGUGCAGCACAAGUUUUAGCAAUGUUUUAAUUAACCUGCCCAAGAAAGGAGUAAUGGGAUUAAUGGCAAUGGUGAAAGGUUGAGCCUGUAUCAGCCAUUGAAAUAAGAAAGUUCUCUUCCAUGGGUGAUUUACUAACAAUUUUAGAUCCCUAGUUAAAUCACCUAUGAAACGCUUGAUAAAAUUAAAAGGGAUGUAGAACUCGUGGUGACACAGAACUGGUGUAAGCUAUGAGACACUCCACCGCUUUUCUUCCUCUGUCACGAAAGGGCACGUUGUUUCAAGAGGUGCACAAGAAGUCUAUGACUACGAACUCACUUCACUGUGAACAGAUUCUGUGCCCUUCCACGCAAUUUUUGUUAUUCCUGUUUAACCACCCUGUAGGCGGCCACCGUCGCCUUACAUCUCCCACACCCCCUUGCUCCCCUUCAGAUGAAACAGUAAGUGGCUUAAAUAAAACCGUCAGCCAGCACUGCAGAUUUCAAAAGAAAGGCUUUUGUCUCCAGUCGUUGACUGAAUAUAAAUCUUGCUCCUGCAAGGCAGCUUGUUAAUGACAAAACUGACAUGUGAUACUUACCUCUAACUUACUACCUGCACUGAAAAAAUGAAGAAAUUAGCUUUGCUUUACAUGAUUUUUCUACAUCAAUAAAAA